GACGAACGCUGGCGGCGUGCUUAACACAUGCAAGUCGCGGGGUAACAUCUGGUAGAGCUUGCUCUUCCAGGAUGACGACCGGCGCACGGGUGAGUAACGCGUAUCCAACCUGGCCCAUACCACGGGAUAGCCCGUCGAAAGGCGGAUUAAUACCGUAUGCUGUCAUUAAGAUGCAUAUAUUGAUGACGAAAGGACUGGCGGUAUGGGAUGGGGAUGCGUCUGAUUAGCUUGUUGGCGGGGUAACGGCCCACCAAGGCGACGAUCAGUAGGGGUUCUGAGAGGAAGGUCCCCCACAUUGGAACUGAGACACGGUCCAAACUCCUACGGGAGGCAGCAGUGAGGAAUAUUGGUCAAUGGACGAGAGUCUGAACCAGCCAAGUAGCGUGCAGGAUGACGGCCCUAAUGGGGUUGUAAAACCGCUUUUUCAGGGGGAUAAAAGUGAGUGACGUGUCAUUCAUUGCAGGUACCCUGCGAAUAAGGACCGGCUAAAUUCCGUGCCAGCAG
rnacentral:rRNA from 1 species